GGAAGCUUGUUGAGGCUAUUAACGUUAUGGAUGAGAUGGAGGAUAAUGGGGUUGGCGCCAAUGAGGUUACUUAUGGGGUUAUGAUUGAAGCUUAUUGUAAGGAGAAGAAGUCGGGCGACGCGGUUAAUUUGCUUAAUGAUGUGGUGGAGGAGAGGUACAUACCGAGCACAAAGCUCUGUUGUUAGGUGAUUGAUGUGUUGUGUUGCGAGGGGAAGGUGGAGGAUGCUUGUGAACUGUGGAAGAAGAAUUGCACGCCAGAUAUUGCCGUAUUGGGCACUCUCAUAGACUGGCUUUGUAAGAAGGGAGGAAGUGUGGGAAGCCAGGAAAUUGUUUGAUCAGUUUGAGACGAGUGAGCCUCCAGAUGUCAUGCCUUACAACGUGCUUAUUUCUGGGAUGUGUGAAGUGCGGGAGUUGUGUGAUGCUUGUCAAACGUGCUGAUGUCUGGGUUAAAGAGCUGGGUCUUAGUAACAUACAUUUCAUGUAUGCAAAUGCCACUACUUCAUUUAAUCAACUGGUGUCUACGUACCCUGGACCACUGAUAUGCUUGUUUCAAUCCUGUGCCCAGAUCCGUAUUUUAAGAGAAAGCAUCACAAGAGACGGGUUGUACAGAAGCCUUUAGUAGAUUCCAUUGUGAAUAUUUUAGCUCCCCGCGGACAGGUUUGUCAACUAUAGAUUAUGGCAAAUAAUGAAGGAUUUAACAAUUUUAUUAAAAGUGACCAUUAGGUUCAUUACUUUUGAUAGUCGGGAAGGUUUCUAUUACUUCGGACUCUUCUAGUUCUGAGUUUGGUCAUGUAGUGCUCUAUCUCUGUUGUACUAUUGCUUUUUUAGAGUCGACUCCUCGUCCG